rnacentral:sRNA from 1 species
CCGUCAGAUGUGGGCCGAAUUUGAAUGGGAAAACAAAGUGACAGUUAACACCAAUAUGGUUGAUUUAAAUGACUACUUACAGCACAUAUUAAAGUCAACCAAUAUGAAAUGCCUGACUCCAGAAAAGGCCCUUUCUGGUUACUGUGGCUUUAUGGCAGCCAACCUUUAUGCUCGUUCCAUAUUUGGUGAAGAUGCACUUGCAAAUGUCAGCAUUGAGAAGCCAAUUCACCAGGGACCAGAUGCUGCUGUUACCGGCCAUAUAAGAAUUCGUGCAAAGAGCCAGGGAAUGGCCUUAAGUCUUGGAGAUAAAAUCAACUUGUCACAGAAGAAAACUAGUAUAUAAAAAUAAACAAAAAGUCCUUGAAGCUUUACAGUUAAUUUAGAUUCUCAGUACACCAUCACUGUUACUGUCCCCAGCUCCAUUCUCUACCUCCAGGAUCUCAGGAGCCUACAGAAGUAACCAGCAAUGGCAGAAUCUCUGAGAAGUCAGUCAUGCAGUGACAAAAGAAUGCAAGUGGGAUUUGUGUCUUUUAUCUGGGCUCUGUAUAUAAUUAUAGGAUUCUGAG